rnacentral:rRNA from 1 species
GAUGAACGCUGGCGGCGUGCCUAAUACAUGCAAGUCGAGCGAACAGACGAGGAGCUUGCUCCUUUGACGUUAGCGGCGGACGGGUGAGUAACACGUGGGUAACCUACCUAUAAGACUGGGAUAACUUCGGGAAACCGGAGCUAAUACCGGAUAAUAUUUCGAACCGCAUGGUUCGAUAGUGAAAGAUGGCUUUGCUAUCACUUAUAGAUGGACCUGCGCCGUAUUAGCUAGUUGGUAAGGUAACGGCUUACCAAGGCAACGAUACGUAGCCGACCUGAGAGGGUGAUCGGCCACACUGGAACUGAGACACGGUCCGGACUCCUACGGGAGGCAGCAGUAGGGAAUCUUCCGCAAUGGGCGAAAGCCUGACGGAGCAACGCCGCGUGAGUGAUGAAGGUCUUCGGAUCGUAAAACUCUGUUAUUAGGGAAGAAUAAACGUGUAAGUAACUGUGCACGUCUUGACGGUACCUAAUCAGAAAGCCACGGCUAACUACGUGCCAGCAGCCGCGGUAAUACGUAGGUGGCAAGCGUUAUCCGGAAUUAUUGGGCGUAAAGCGCGCGUAGGCGGUUUUUUAAGUCUGAUGUGAAAGCCCACGGCUCAACCGUGGAGGGUCAUUGGAAACUGGAAAACUUGAGUGCAGAAGAGGAAAGUGGAAUUCCAUGUGUAGCGGUGAAAUGCGCAGAGAUAUGGAGGAACACCAGUGGCGAAGGCGACUUUCUGGUCUGUAACUGACGCUGAUGUGCGAAAGCGUGGGGAUCAAACAGGAUUAGAUACCCUGGUAGUCCACGCCGUAAACGAUGAGUGCUAAGUGUUAGGGGGUUUCCGCCCCUUAGUGCUGCAGCUAACGCAUUAAGCACUCCGCCUGGGGAGUACGACCGCAAGGUUGAAACUCAAAGGAAUUGACGGGGACCCGCACAAGCGGUGGAGCAUGUGGUUUAACUCGAAGCAACGCGAAGAACCUUACCAAAUCUUGACAUCCUUUGACCCUUCUAGAGAUAGAAGUUUCCCCUUCGGGGGACAAAGUGACAGGUGGUGCAUGGUUGUCGUCAGCUCGUGUCGUGAGAUGUUGGGUUAAGUCCCGCAACGAGCGCAACCCUUAAGCUUAGUUGUCAUCAUUAAGUUGGGCACUCUAAGUUGACUGCCGGUGACAAACCGGAGGAAGGUGGGGAUGACGUCAAAUCAUCAUGCCCCUUAUGAUUUGGGCUACACACGUGCUACAAUGGACAAUACAAAGGGCAGCGAAACCGCGAGGUCAAGCAAAUCCCAUAAAGUUGUUCUCAGUUCGGAUUGUAGUCUGCAACUCGACUACAUGGGGCUGGAAUCGCUAGUAAUCGUAGAUCAGCAUGCUACGGUGAAUACGUUCCCGGGUCU